rnacentral:misc_RNA from 1 species
GAUGAAGAACGCAGUAAAAUGCGAUAAGUAAUGUGAAUUGCAGAAUUCAGUGAAUCAUCGAAUCUUUGAACGCACAUUGCGCCCGCCAGUAUUCUGGCGGGCAUGCCUGUUCGAGCGUCAUUUCAACCCUCAAGCCCCCGGGUUUGGUGUUGGGGAUCGGGCUGUACUCCAGCCCGGCCCCGAAAUCUAGUGGCGGUCUCGCUGCAGCCUCCAUUGCGUAGUAGCUAACACCUCGCAACUGGAACGCGGCGCGGCCAAGCCGUUAAACCCCCAACUUCUGAAUGUUGACCUCGGAUCAGGUAGGAAUACCCGCUGAACUUAAGCAUAUCAAUAAAGCGGAGGA